rnacentral:rRNA from 1 species
UACGGGGGGGGCAAGCGUUGUUCGGAAUUACUGGGCGUAAAGGGCUCGUAGGCGGCCAACUAAGUCAGACGUGAAAUCCCUCGGCUUAACCGGGGAACUGCGUCUGAUACUGGAUGGCUAGAGGUUGGGAGAGGGAUGCGGAAUUCCAGGUGUAGCGGUGAAAUGCGUAGAUAUCUGGAGGAACACCGGUGGCGAAGGCGGCAUCCUGGACCAAUUCUGACGCUGAGGAGCGGAAGCCAGGGGAGCAAACGGG